GCUUGAUAUGUGCCAUAUGGUGCUAGGACAUCUUGUAUAUAUUAUCACAUUCAAUCCUCAUGUAAUCCUACAGAAUAGGAUCUACACAUACCUAUAAAAGACAUAGAGAAUACAAAGACAAAUAAGCCUGGACCUUCUGUCAUGAAACUCACAGUCUAAAGGAAUCUAUAUUGUUUCUACUGGACCUCUUGUUCUCUGUUCAACCGAACCUGUAAUGUCCUUACUUCCCCCAAAACUCACAUCCUCAUUGCUGUUGUUUAAUUCAGCUUCGGGGACUCCUGACUCAUUAGCUGUUGCCACAUUGUCCUUUUACAGGGCCCCUGGGGCUUUCUGUCCAUUGUCAUCCCUUCCUUCUCCCACCCUGAGGAGAAUGAGCAGCCACCAUUCAGGCACCAUUUUUUGAUGGUUUGUUUCAGUCCUUCCUCAGACUGCUCAACUACAUUAACAGGAAGGGCACUGGGAGACCAUUUGCCCCCAUCUCUCACCCACCACUUGUAUAACACUACUCACUACCAGAUCCCAAACAGCGUCCUCAUAACCCCAGUCUUUGCCUAUGGGGUCCAGAUCCUUUGUCUUCCAAAGAGUCAUGUCUCUGUCAGCAUCCCAUCAUCAGAAUUCUCAAGGCUGAGAUGUGAUUUUUAUCCUGCUUACCAGCUGUGUAGGACUUCC
ensembl:lncRNA